CGACCCCGCCGGUCCCUGCUCUGUCGUGGGUUCGGGGCCUUGGGGCGGCGCUGAGCCCCGGGCCGUGCGCUCACCGGCUCGCUCCUCGGUGGGGCUGAACGCGCGGCAGAGCUUAGGAAGCGCCGCUGUAGGACAGGAAUCAGCAGAUCACGCCUGUGGCCUAUUUCCUCUUUUGAAAAUUAUAGUUUACGAAUUUUUAACCAACAGAAUCGGAGUAUUUCAAGGGCUCAGUAUUGCGUCUGAGCAGCGCGUGUGAACAGCGUGUGACGAUCAGGUCAAGGCACUGGCGUAAUCGGUGAAUUAGAGUUAUCCUGCCCAGCAGCGCUCGUGCGCGUGCACCCCCUCCCUGGCCCGCCACACACCCCUGUGCUUACCGCUGGGUGGCAUCAACUUUUAGCCUCCUCAUGUAAGUAGACCGCGUGCUCUGUCUUUCCGUGCUGGGCUUGUGACCACGCCAAGGCCACGCUCCGCUCCUUUAUGCGGCUGGCUACUCUUCCGUUGUUUUACAGCGCAUCUCUGUUAUCCGCCAGUGGACGCUCGGUUGGGUCCUGGGCUGUUGUGAAUAGUAUAGUCCUCAGCCUGUUUGCAAACAAAAUGUCUUGGCACACAGUCAUUCCUCUUCGUGUACCUGCAGGGAGAGCUGUGACAGACGUAGCCCUUGACGUCCUCUCUGGCCUCUGAUGAAAGCUUGCCGACUGCUGCCGUAAAGGAGAGAGGAACAGGAAGACGCCAGGAGCUGCGCCUGUCACGCCAUGCGCGUCCCUGCCAUUGCAGCCCCGUGCCCCCCCCCCCCCCCGUGGUGAAGUGAAAGAGAAAUUUUUUAGGCUACUGUUAGGAGGGUGUGUCUGUGACAACAUCAGAAUGAGUACAGCCUACCCCCGUUGUCAAGACUGUUGUAGAACUUUUGAUAAAAUCUGAGGAAAGGUUUGUGCAGGGGUGAGCCUGGGGGUUAGAAUCACAUGGCAGUUAAAGCACUGCAUUGGGCUUUCACCACUAUAAGGAAAUAGCUGACACAGGCUACUUAUGAAGAAAGAGGUUUAUUUCGCUCUCCAUUCUAAAGGUUUAAAGUCCAAACAGCAUAAGGCAGGCUUUGUGGCAGGGCAGCCCCUUGGCCUCUCCUCAGGGCCAGUAGUGAUGUUGGGGAUGUGUUUGGGCGAGAAAGCAGAGACAGCUGGGAGGAGCCAGCUUUGCUCUUUUUAUAACAACCCUCUUGGAUGAGCGGGGCGUGGUGGCCCCUGCGUGUAAUCCCAGCACUUGGGAGGCUGAGGCAGUAGGAUCACCAAAGAGUUCAAGACCAGCCUGGCUACAUAUUGAGUUCAGGGCCAGCCUGAACUGCAAAGGGAGACUCUGUCUCAACAACAACAACAACAAAACCCAACCAAACAAAAAAACAACCCUCUUGGGAGAACUACUUCCUGAGGGUGCACCCCAGUGACCUAACUUCCUCCCUCAGGCCGCUCCUCCUGAAGGUCCCCCCCCCAUAGCACCACCCUGUGACCAAGCCUCCAAUGUCUGAAGUUCUGGGGAGGCAGUGAUACCACGGUUUUUACAUACCAAGUGAACUUUCACACCGCACCCUCCUUGGUGUAUAGAUAGGUCUCCACUUGACAAGCAGCACACACUGGAUGAGGCCAGUCCUGGGGAGACCUGAGCAUCACCCCAGUAAUGAAAGAGGUGAAGGAGAAAACCGAACCUGGCUUCCAGCCUAUUUCAGAGGAGGACCCAUGAGAGCGUAGCCUCUGGGAGCAGUCUUCCCACACUUUAACUCCAGUGCCACCAGAAACUAAAAGAAGAAAACACAUACUUUACCCAGAAGUAUUGCAUCUGGUGGUUGGAUAUUUAUUCAUUCCCUGUAGCCGAAGACCUUUAAACCAUUCCAGGAGGAGACUUCGCUCUUGAGAUUGAGGAGGCUCCUGUCCAUUGCGUGCUCAAACACAUUUCUGUAACAAAAGGAGCCUGGAGUCUGGUGCCCAAGGCCAUCUUGUAUUCUAGACUCACAGUGCUGCC
ensembl:lncRNA